GCGGCCUAUCAGCUUGUUGGUGAGGUAAUGGCUCACCAAGGCGACGACGGGUAGCCGGCCUGAGAGGGCGACCGGCCACACUGGGACUGAGACACGGCCCAGACUCCUACGGGAGGCAGCAGUGGGGAAUAUUGGGCAAUGGAGGAAACUCUGACCCAGCGACGCCGCGUGCGGGAUGAAGGCCUUCGGGUUGUAAACCGCUUUCAGCAGGGAAGAAGCGAAAGUGACGUUUUCUGCAGAAGAAGCACCGGCUAACUAUGUGCCAGCAGCCGCGGUAAUACAUAGGGUGCAAGCGUUGUCCGGAAUUAUUGGGCGUAAAGAGCUCGUAGGUGGUUCGUCACGUCGGAUGUGAAAAUCUGGGGCUUAACCCCAGACCUGCAUUCGAUACGGGCGAGC
rnacentral:rRNA from 1 species